rnacentral:tRNA from 1 species
GGCCCAAUGGUCUAGAGGUAAGAUACUUGCUUUGGGACUUACAAUUGCAAGGGAUCCCGGGUUCGAAUCCCGGUUGGGCCC